rnacentral:rRNA from 1 species
AAUUCGAUGAUACGCGAGGAACCUACCUGGCUCAAAUGUAUGUUGACGUAUUCUGAAAGGGAUACUUCUUCGGACAAUAUACAAGGUGCUGCAUGGUUGUCGUCAGCUCGUGCCGUGAGGUGUCGGGUUAAGUCCCAUAACGAGCGCAACCCCUAUCAUUAGUUGCCAUCAGGUCAAGCUGGGGACUCUAAUGAAACUGCCUACGCAAGUAGUGAGGAAGGUGGGGAUGACGUCAAAUCAGCACGGCCCUUACGUCCAGGGCUACACACGUGCUACAAUGGCCGGUACAAAGGGCAGCUACCUGGUGACAGGAUGCUAAUCUCAAAAGCCGGUCUCAGUUCGGAUCGGAGUCUGCAACCCGACUCCGUGAAGUUGGAUUCGCUAGUAAUCGCGCAUCAGCCAUGGCGCGGUGAAUACGUUCCCGGGCCUU